GACGAACGCUGGCGGCGUGCCUAAUACAUGCAAGUAGAACGCUGAAGAGAGGAGCUUGCUCUUCUUGGAUGAGUUGCGAACGGGUGAGUAACGCGUAGGUAACCUGCCUUGUAGCGGGGGAUAACUAUUGGAAACGAUAGCUAAUACCGCAUAACAAUGGAUGACACAUGUCAUUUAUUUGAAAGGGGCAAUUGCUCCACUACAAGAUGGACCUGCGUUGUAUUAGCUAGUAGGUGAGGUAAUGGCUCACCUAGGCGACGAUACAUAGCCGACCUGAGAGGGUGAGCGGCCACACUGGGACUGAGACACGGCCCAGACUCCUACGGGAGGCAGCAGUAGGGAAUCUUCGGCAAUGGGGGCAACCCUGACCGAGCAACGCCGCGUGAGUGGAGAAGGUUUUCGGAUCGUAAAGCUCUGUUGUAAGUCAAGAACGGGUGUGAGAGUGGAAAGUUCACACUGUGACGGUAGCUUACCAGAAAGGGACGGCUAACUACGUG
rnacentral:rRNA from 1 species